AAGAGCACCUAUUAUGGGAUACACGUUUUUAAACAUCCUUUUGUGUGUAAGUGUGCAUUAGUACAUGCUAACGAUAUUCAAAAAGUACAUACCUCAAAGAAAACGAUGACGCGAGUUAUCGUCUCUAACGUUCGAGGACUACAAAAAACACUCGGAUUGUAGGCAACAGUUUACUUCCUGGGAUUAGUGACGUAGAUAAGACCAACAUUAUCAUAGUUCAGCCCUCUCUGCUUUGCUUGGGUACGCCCUCAAAGACGGGGGUGGGGAGCGCCGAGAAGAGAGCUAAAAUGGCGGAGGUUGUGAGUCCCUGCUUUGACCCUGUUUGCAAACUCUUGUUUCAUUGUUUAAGCGAUUAAAUCUCUCGAGUAGACGCUGUCUCUUUAGAUGCGAGGGAAAAAUAGCACUUUAUGGACUUACACAGAGGACAUCAUGUUUAAUACGGUUCCGGAAAAAUCCAGUCAGAAGUUGUUCACGGAGUUUUCACAAUAACUGCUUCUCAUGAACCGAAGCUGGAUUUGCGCGACGUCUCCUCUUGAAAGUUGGAUUACUGUGCACUUCUGGAUCACAGGCUAUUCGCAGCUGGACACAUCCUUCUACACUGUAUGCAAACAUGCAACAUCAUUACACACAGUACAAGGAGUCUGACUGGCAUAUGAGGAGCAAAGGAACCCAGGCAGUAGCAUCGUUUCACAAUGUUUCCAUCACCAUCAUCAGUGGAUGCCUUUGCCGUCCGUAGCCUGAGAUUUCAGAUUUGCAGCAAAAAAACUUUGAUUUUCUCAUUUAUUGGAAUGCUGUGCAGGUAUUUGUACCUUGCAGCCAUCCAUUACAAUGUCACCAAGCCGUAACAAAAGCAGGAGAGGGAAAGUACAAGGCUAUGUUCCCAAAACACACAAGUGACAUACCUUAUGUGGAGGAUGUGAUCAGGCUUGUGUUUGAUGAGGUAUUUGAAGAUAAGCUGAAGGAAACCCCGAUUCCAAUGGACCUGGCAUCACAGUUUGAGAGACCUUCAAAGGAGGACGUGAUUGCAUGCCAUCUUCAGUGCAGUGGUCGUCGAAAGCCAAAAUUGUGACCGAUCUGAUCAGGAAGCUCCAAGCACAUCUGGAGAACAACACACGACAGGAUGAUAACCUUAUAGUGUCGUCUUAGAUAGCACCAACUGACAAAGCUUUGAUAUGCCAUUUAUCUGAAUAGAUAGCUGUAAGAAAUGAAUUGAACAAUUUUUGA